CUUCAAUGAAGAGAGGAUGACGAGUCUGACUGGAGGUGGCCGCUUUGCCCGGGAAGCCCCUGCUCUGCGAUGUGUUCUGCAGCACAGUUGUAGGGGCCCUGGGCCAAAGUAACUUCCAGAAGAUGACCUCCGAGGCAUUUGUCUGAGAAGG